CCAAGAGUGGGAGAAACACCAGCAGGCUGGCCCAGGGGAGACUCGUGGCAAUGGAUGGGUGCAAACGCUCUGGGACACUUGCAGGACCAAACCCGGCAGGGGAACGUGGGUGCUGCCCUGGCUGGGGGCAAGACCCAGGGCCAGGAGCGAGGUGGGUGCCUCUGGGUUUGCACGCUUCUCGGUGUGCCCUUCACCACCGCGCUGUGCCGGGCCAUGGCAGCCACAGAACAUCACCUCUUUGGCAAGCGGCGCUGACUCAACACAUGCCACCACCGAGGCUCGGUGGCCCUGCCAGGAUGCUGCUGCCUGCCCCGGGCAUCUCCAUGUUAUCCAGCAAAGUGCAGCAAAGUGCUCUCUGCAGAGGAAGAGGAGGUGAAGCACCGCGGAGGAGAACGGUGGCUGUGUGGCCCCAGCCGUUAUGAGUUUCCACCUUGAGGGUGAAGAAGUAGAGUUACACCUUUCAGGAUGAGGCUGGGAAGUCCUGCCCCAUCCCGUUGGCUCUCCCUGUCACCCCCAUGGAUUUGCUGUCCCUGCCUGCACCCCGGUGCAAGCCAGGCAGGGCAGCCGCUGUGCAGUUGUCACCUUUCCCAGUUCCCUUCAGUGCGGGAGGGACCGGAGCAGAUGCAGAGCUCAAGGUGUGAGCAACCUCAGGUCCACACCACGGCACCGAGGCCUUCAUCUGUCCCUCUCCAGCACUGCGUGCGCGUCGCCGGGCAGAAAUCUCUGCACAGGAGUCCCCGCCAUGGCCCUUGGAGCUCCUUCCCGAGCGACAACAGCUCCUUCAAACCCAUCGCUGUGCGUGCAAAGCCAGAGGGUGAAGUGCUGGGACUAAGUCGCAGCGGGCUCCCAGCGAGAAGGUGGAAAGCUGCUGCGGAGGAGCCUCUCACAAGCGUCCUACCGCGCGUGCUGGGGAUGGAGUGGCGUCCCUGUCUCAAGGAGAAGGCAUCGGAGACUGGUGGAGUGCCACUCGACUGCUAAAACACCCGUCCCUGGAGGGAACGACAGGCAGCCGGGGCUGGAGAUCGCUCCGACAAUCUCCGGUUUCCUUGGUGACAGUCGGGAUCUCUCGGCUGCACAAGAGCUUGGGCUUGACGGAGCCUUUUUUUCUGGAUAUUAUACCGUAUUAUUUGGUGUAGGGUUUCGAAGGUCCUCUUUGUUUUGAGUCUGGGGGGCUGGGUGUCGUCAGAGCCCCACCAGCCCCAUCCGCCUUCCCCGGGCUGAAGGCGUCGCUGGCAGCAGCGGGCUCCUCGCUCCAACUCCUUUCGCAGUAGCUGUUGCCAUCUUGUUUAAUUCCGGCAUUAUCUGAUUGUCACAGCGUGUUUCUCUGUAUUAGGCAAUACGCCAGUUUGUUACUUAACCUGUAAUUGCACUUUAAUAUAAGCUAUCUCAAAAAUGUAUUUUCGGAGUGCGUCUUAUAAACACACGAU